rnacentral:rRNA from 1 species
UACGUAGGUGCAAGCGUUGUCCGGAAUUAUUGGGCGUAAGAGCUCGUAGGCGGUCUGUCGCGUCGGCUGUGAAACCGGAGCUCAACUCCGGCCUGCAGUCGAUACGGGCAGGCUAGAGUGCGGUAGGGGAGAUUGGAAUUCCUGGUGUAGCGGUGGAAUGCGCAGAUAUCAGGAGGAACACCGAUGGCGAAGGCAGAUCUCUGGGCCGUAACUGACGCUGAGGAGCGAAAGCAUGGGGAGCGAACAGG